GUGAAUCAUCGAAUUUUUGAACGCACAUUGCACUCCUGGGUAUUCCGGAGAGCAUGCCUGUUUGAGGGUCAGUUUAAAUAAAAAUCGGCGUAGAUGCUGCCUUUCGUGGUGACGCAUCGGCUUUGGGUCGUCUGGCCUUCGGUUAAGAGACCUAAAAUUGUGCAUGAUUUUUUUCUAACGUAUUUAAAUGA
rnacentral:misc_RNA from 1 species